rnacentral:rRNA from 1 species
UUAGGGGAAUUUUUCAACAAUGAACCGAAAGCUUGGAUGGAGCAAAUGCCGGCUGAACCGGAGGAAGGGUCUUUAAGAUUGUAAAGUUCUUUUAUUGGGAAGAAUGACUUAGCAGGUAAUGGCUAGAGUUUGACUGUACCAUUUUGAAUAAGUGACGACUAACUAUGUCCAGCAGUCGCGGUAAUACAUAGGUCGCAAGCGUUAUCCGGAUUUAUUGGGCGUAAAGCAAGGCAGGCGGAUUGAAAAGUCUGGUGUUAAGGCAGCUGCUUAACAGUUGUAUGCAUUGGAAACUAUUAAUCUAGAGUGUGGUAGGGAGUUUUGGAAUUUCAUGUGGAGCGGUGAAAUGCGUAGAUAUAUGAAGGAACACCAGUGGCGAAGGCGAAAACUUAGGCCAUUACUGACGCUUAGGCUUGAAAGUGUGGGGAGCAAAUAGGAUUAGAUACCCUAGUAGUCCACACCGUAAACGAUAGAUACUAGCUGUCGNGGCGAUCCCCUCGGUAGUGAAGUUAACACAUUAAGUAUCUCGCCUGGGUAGUACAUUCGCAAGAAUG